ensembl:snoRNA SNORA62 Small nucleolar RNA SNORA62/SNORA6 family
ACUGCACAUUGUUAACAUUUGGAGUUGAGGCCACUGGCCAAUGAACUCACAAGUAUAGGCAGUGUGCUCCACGAGGGGCAAGUUUUUCGAAAACACCACAAGGGUUUCUGGCCCAAUGAGUGGAAUUUAAUAGUAAUACUUGCUACAGAA